rnacentral:rRNA from 1 species
ACAAUGGGUAUCGACACCGAAAGGUGAAGGCAAUCUCCUAAACCCAUCCGUAGUUCGGAUUGUGGGCUGCAACUCGCCCACAUGAAGCUGGAAUCUGUAGUAAUCGUGUCUCAAAAUGGCACGGUGAAUAUCGUCCCUGCUCCUU